AACCGUUCGGGGGUAAACGGACAGAGCCCGUGAAUCCGGGCGCGCGGAAUUCGGGACCGAUCGGCGGGUCGGUCGAUUCGAUAUUUCCGCCGCCGACCGNUAACUGGUGCGGACGUCGCGACCCGUUCGCCGUGGGUCUGACGAGACGCGUUUCAAGUUCGUCCGCGCGUUCGCCUUCGCGGGUGGCGAUGGCGCGUAACUCGGGCCCUUUGGCGGACGGUAGCUACAGCGCGGGUUAUCGACGUCGCCACAUUCGGGGUCCGUCGGUGCGCGCAUUAAGUACGUCGACGCCGGUCAGCGACGAAUCUUCGGGCCUCUUUCCGACCCGUCUUGAAACACGGACCAAGGAGUCUAACGUGCGCGCGAGUCGCGGGGUAUUCGAGCCGUAACGCAGCUCGUUAUAAUACGAAACCCGUAUACGUACGUUGUGCGAAGGCGUAAUGAAAGUGAGGUAGCCCUCUUUAUUGGUGACCGGGGAAGAUGGUGUUCCGAGUACACGUUUCUCGGUCGUACGUAUCCGAGACCGGACACCCGCAUUCCCAGGGCGUCCCGUACGUCCGUCGGAGGCGCGGAUCUGGGUCGGCUUUCGACGAACUGGGGCGCACCUCUAGCGUGCACGUUGGUACCCGAAAGAUGGUGAACUAUGCCCGGCCAGGAUGAAGUCAGGGGAAACCCUGAUGGAGGUCCGCAGCGAUUCUGACGUGCAAAUCGAUCGUCUGAGCUGGGUAUAGGGGCGAAAGACUAAUCGAACCAUCUA
rnacentral:rRNA from 1 species